rnacentral:rRNA from 1 species
GAGACAACUCUCUCUAAGGAACUCGGCAAAAUUACCUCGUAACUUCGGAAGGAGAGGUACCCCUUCACGGGGGUUGCAAUAGAUUGACCCUGGCGACUGUUUACCAAAAACACAGGUCUCCGCUAAUUCGUAAGAAAAAGUAUGGGGGCUGACGCCUGCCCAGUGCCGGAAGGUUAAAGAAGUUGGUUAGUCCUUGGACAAAGCUAGCGACUGAAGCCCCGGUGAACGGCGGCCGUAACUAUAACGGUCCUAAGGUAGCGAAAUUCCUUGUCGGGUAAGUUCCGACCCGCACGAAGGCGUAACGAUCAGGGUACUGUCUCGGAGAGAGGCUCGGCGAAAUAGACAUGUCUGUGAAGAUGCGGACUACCUGCACCUGGACAGAAAGACCCUAUGAAGCUUUACUGUAUCUUGGAAUUGGGUUUGGUCUUUGCAUGCGCAGGAUAGGUGGAGGCUUUGAAGAUGAUCUUGCGGGGUCGUUGGAGCCACUGGUGAGAUACCACCCUUGCAAUGAUAAAAUCCUAACUUUGAACCGUUAUCCGGUCAAAGAACAGUUUCAGGUGGGCAGUUUGACUGGGGCGGUCGCCUCCUAAAAGGUAACGGAGGCGUGCAAAGGUUCCCUCAGGCUGGUUGGACAUCAGUCGUAGAGUGUAAAGGCAUAAGGGAGCUUGACUGCGAGACCAACAAGUCGAGCAGAGACGAAAGUCGGCCUUAGUGAUCCGGCGCUUCCGAGUGGAAGGGGCGUCGCUCAACGGAUAAAAGUUACUCUAAGGAUAACAGGCUGGUCUCCCCCAAGAGUUCACAUCGACGGGGAGGUUUGGCACCUCGAUGUCGGCUCAUCGCAUCCUGGGGCGGUAGUACGUCCCAAGGGUUGGGCUGUUCGCCCAUGAAAGCGGUACGCGAGCUGGGUUCAGAACGUCGAGAGACAGUUCGGUCCAUAUCCGGUGCAGGCGUUAGAGUAUUGCGAAGACUCCUCCUUAGUACGAGAGGACCGGGGGGAAUGCACCGCUGGUGUACCAGUUAUCGUGCCAACGGUAAACGCUGGGUAGCCAAGUGCAGUUUGGAUAACUGCUGAAAGCAUCUAAGUAGGAAGCCAGCUUCAAGAUGAGUACUCUCACCGCUUCAAGCGGGUAAGAUCACGGCAAGAACAGCCGCUUGAUAGGCAUCAAGUGUAAGUGCAGUAAUGUAUUCAGCUGAGAUGUACUAAUAGAUCGAGGGCUUACCAC